UACGUAGGGGGCAAGCGUUGUCCGGAUUUAUUGGGCGUAAAGAGCGUGUAGGCGGCUUUACAGGUCCGUUGUGAAAACUCGAGGCUCAACCUCGAGACGCCGGUGGAAACCGUAAAGCUAGAGUCCGGAAGAGGAGAGUGGAAUUCCUGGUGUAGCGGUGAAAUGCGCAGAUAUCAGGAGGAACACCCGUGGCGAAAGCGGCUCUCUGGGACGUUACUGACGCUGAGACGCGAAAGCGUGGGGAGCAAACAGC
rnacentral:rRNA from 1 species